rnacentral:rRNA from 1 species
UACGUAGGGGGCUAGCGUUGUCCGGAGUUACUGGGUGUAAAGGGCACGUAGGCGGGUUAACAAGUCUGGGGUGAAAUCUCCCGGCUCAACUGGGAAGCUGCCCUGGAUACUGUUAAGCCUGAGUACGGAAGAGAGAGACGGAAUUCCCGGUGUAGUGGUGAAAUACGUAGAUAUCUGGAAGAACACCUGUGGCGGAGGCGGUCUCUUGGUCCGAUACUGACGCUCAGGCGCGAAAGCGUGGGGAGCAAACAGG